rnacentral:rRNA from 1 species
CGAUUCGAUAGAAAAGAAGGAAUAGUGUGCAUUUUUCGUUGGGGAUUCCCUGAAAUAAAACGUUGCGUCUUCCUUCGAUUCCUUAUGCGGGAUAUCUAAUCAAUUAGAAUUCAGGUUAAAGAGGGUCUUUAUCCUCGUCGUAUUAUUUAUAUGGAAAUCCGGGGCUAGGGGAUCAUCCCCUUGACUCGUACUAAUGAUAAAUUUUUUACUCCACGAGAAAUUGAACAAAAAGCUGCCGAAUUGGCCUAUUUGUUGCGCGUACCAAUUGAAGUAUUUUGA